UUUAUAAACAAAGAUGAAAAUAUUUGCCUUUUUCCUCUUUGAUUCCCCCAAAAUUUGAAAACUAUUUGUGAGUAUCCUUCUGAUUUUUAUAGUAUAAAAUAACAUGUCUACCUGAGAAUAAGUCUUCCCAGCACUGAGGCAUCCAUACAAAGAAAAGUAAAACCUUUUCAAUUAGAAAAUUGAUCUUCAAUGCUUCCAUGAGGAAUGUUUUGAUCGAAAAAGGGGAAAUGAUGUCUUGUCUACACAAGCAGUUCUCUAAAGUUUCAUAAACUUGAAGGAAGAGACUCAUGACUUGGAUAAGACAUCCUGUUCCUAAACAAAGGAUUCAUGUAAGUUCUUAAAAUUCUUGAUGUACCAAUUAAUAUAUAGCUUGCUAACUCUUGUAAGCCACCUGUUGUAAAUCAACUGUUAAGACAAUAGAUAAACAAAUGCCCUUAAUCCUCUGCGCCACUCCAGCUGGGUAACAAGAGCUAUGUCUUCCAUCAUGUCAAAUAGUUCCAUUCCACAUUAACCCCUACUGCGCCCUGAAAACAGCUUGAAGCAGUCAGAUGAGUCGGCGGCCCACUCCAUAAAAGUGGAAAGAACUAUUGACAAUGGGGAAUUGUUAAAAUAAACAGGACUAAAGCCAUUUUGGGACCUAAAGCAGCCUGGGCUACAGGGGGAAAAGAUUUUUUUAAAAAAAGGACAGUUUUUUCUCUCUCUACUCUUGCUUCCCAUCCCCUGGCUUUCUUAUCUCACUUACUAAGUAGAAAGGCGAGGCUGAGAAGCUGGUUGGUACUUUGCAGAGCUAACAGUUCUUUCUUUAAGUCUUGUAGAAUUUUGGAAAAUGAUCAAAGCCAAGCAACUGGAGGCUGACCUUGGGCACUAGCCAAGUACACUGGCACAAAUCAAAAUCUUGCAGGGUCCUGAGAUGAUGGCGAGAAAACCAGAUGAGGCCUAGCCAAGACCUUGUACCUGACUCACAAACAUGGACCCCUCGUAGCUCACGUCUCCUGCCCCCCCCCCUUUUUUUUACCCUUACGCCAGGCCCCAGUGCCCAAGAACCCUUUAUGGUCUAUGUUCCCUUUACCAUAAGUGCUUUAAUAAGCCACAGGGCCUAAUUUCUCUCUUGGAGUCUGUCUUUUAUACUCAUCAGCCCACCUGGGAUGACUGUCAGCAGCUCCUCCAGGUCCUGUUCACCACCGAGGAGAAACAACGGAUCCUCCUGGAGGCUCAAAAGAACGUUCCAGGAGACGAUGAGCGACCUACCCUCCUCCCUGAUGUUAUAGAUGCAGGAUUCCCGUUGACCAGACCAAACUGGGAUUUCAACUCGGCAGAAGGGUCUGCUGACCUCUGGAGGAAAAGAAAUCAAAAACAAGGCAGAGAUCGUACCCUGCUGGAGGCCCUUCACAGACCGCUAAAAGUUAAAAGGACUUCAAGCAGUGCAGAAGGAAAUCUGGACGCAGUUGGCAGCCACUUACGAGCCUGGGACCCCCGAAGUUUCUCAUCAGUACCAGGUUGGGGACACAGUCUACGUCAGACGACAUCGUUCCCGGACCCUGGAGCCUCGCUGGAAAGACCUUACUUAGUGCUUCUAACAACCCCAACGGCUGUAAAGGUAGACGGGAUCUCCGCUUGGAUCCACACCUCGCACGUGAAACCUGCGCCGCCAGAGAACCAAGGGGGGGGGGGGGGCGUCACCUGGAGAGUCCAGAGUGCUGCAGAGCACCCCUUAAGACUGAAAAUAGUACGGACACCCUAACUGUUGUAAGAUGACUACUCUCUUGUUUUCCUUAUGUCUAACCAUUCUCUUCCAGGGCGCCAAAGCUUCCAGCCCACAUGCUCCUAGAAAGUUAACUUGGUAUGUUAUAAAUAAGGUAAAAAAUACAACCUGGAACUCAUCCAAAAUCACCGUAGGAACAGGGACAUGGUGGCCUAACCUGUACCCUGACAUACAAGUAUUUCAUGAUUGAAAUACGCACUAAAAAAAAGGGGGGGGGAAUAUUGUAGGAAAUUGUAAUAAAAAAAUAUAGCUCUAACCUGCACAAUUCUGCAAACUCUUGCUAAAACGGGAAAACAUAUCUAAAAGUAUUUUAAGUGAAGCAGCUUUUUAGAGGUCAAAGCAGAACUAGACACACAUUCCAGGGGCCAGCCGGUCUCAAGGACUAACCAGCCCUCUUAUCUUCAGGACACCUGGCAGAGCCCAAGUGAGUAAACAAAAAAAAAAAAAAUUGAACAGUCCCUUAUCGGAAUGCUAGCCUGUUGAGCCUGACCAUGAAUAAAGUCUUUGUCCAAAGAAAGUGUAUAAAAACUCCAAUGUAAGGGGGGGCGGCGCUUUUCCGAAAGGCAAAGGGCCUCAGCUAGCUGAAAAAUAAAAAUCCU